rnacentral:rRNA from 1 species
AGGAAUAUUGGGCAAUGCCCGCAAGGGUGACCCAGCAACGCCGCGUGGAGGAUGAAUGUCGUAAGAUUGUAAACUCCUGUUAGAGGGGAAGAAUAGUACCGGUUGGACCGGUAUAUGACUGUACCCUCAGAGAAAGCCCCGGCUAACUACGUGCCAGCAGCCGCGGUAAUACGUAGGGGGCAAGCGUUGUCCGGAUUUACUGGGUGUAAAGGGCGCGCAGGCGGGAUAAAAAGUCAGUGGUGAAAUCCUACAGCUUAACUGUAGAACUGCCUUUGAUACUUUUAUUCUUGAGUUCGGGAGAGAGAGACGGAAUUCCAGGUGUAGUGAUGAAAUACGUAGAUAUCUGGAAGAACACCAGUUGCGAAGGCGGUCUCUUGGUCCGACACUGACGCUGAGGCGCGAAAGCGUGGGGAGCAAACA